rnacentral:rRNA from 1 species
UUCCGGUUGAUCCUGCCAGACCUGACUGCUAUCGGAUUGAUACUAAGCCAUGCGAGUCAUUGUAGCAAUACAAGGCAUACGGCUCAGUAACGCGUAGUCAACCUAACCUAUGGACGGAAAUAACCUCGGGAAACUGAGAAUAAUGUCCGAUAGAACACUAUACCUGGAAUGGUUUGUGUUCCAAAUGAUUUAUCGCCGUAGGAUGGGACUGCGGCCUAUCAGUUUGUUGGUGAGGUAAUGGCCCACCAAGACUAUUACAGGUACGGGCUCUGAGAGGAGUAGCCCGGAGAUGGGUACUGAGACACGGACCCAGGCCCUAUGGGGCGCAGCAGGCGAGAAAACUUUGCAAUGUGCGAAAGCACGACAAGGUUAAUCCGAGUGAUUUGUGCUAAACGAAUCUUUUGUUAGUCAUAGAACCACUAACGAAUAAGGGGUGGGCAAGUUCUGGUGUCAGCCGCCGCGGUAAAACCAGCACCUCAAGUGGUCAGGAUGAUUAUUGGGCCUAAAGCAUCCGUAGCCGGCUCUGUAAGUUUUCGGUUAAAUCUGUACGCUCAACGUACAGGCUGCCGGGAAUACUGCAGAGCUAGGGAGUGGGAGAGGUAGGCGGUACUCGGAAGGAAGGGGUAAAAUCCUUUGAUCUUUUGAUGACCACCUGUGGCGAAGGCGGUCUACCAGAACACGUCCGACGGUGAGGGAUGAAAGCUGGGGGAGCAAACCGGAUUAGAUACCCGGGUAGUCCCAGCUGUAAACUAUGCACACUCGGUGAUGCAUUGACUUAUGGUCAAUGCAGUGCUGCAGGGAAGCCGUUAAGUUUGCCGCCUGGGAAGUACGUACGCAAGUAUGAAACUUAAAGGAAUUGGCGGGGGAGCACCACAAGGGGUGAAGCCUGCGGUUCAAUUGGAUUCAACGCCGGA